rnacentral:ncRNA from 2 species
ACGUGCUCCGGGGUCGGUGGAAGUCCGAGCCGGCGGUAAUAGUCCGCGACCCGGUCACGCCAACCCGUCGGGGCGGCGCGGCCGGUUGAGCUGGUGGAAGCCCAGCACCGACGGUGAGAGUCCGGAUGGGAGGAAGCACGA